rnacentral:rRNA from 1 species
GGAGUUAGCCGGUGCUUCUUCUGCGAGUAACGUCACAGAUGUAAGGUAUUAACUUACACCCUUUCCUCCUCGCUGAAAGUGCUUUACAACCCGAAGGCCUUCUUCACACACGCGGCAUGGCUGCAUCAGGGUUUCCCCCAUUGUGCAAUAUUCCCCACUGCUGCCUCCCGUAGGAGUCUGGGCCGUGUCUCAGUCCCAGUGUGGCUGAUCAUCCUCUCAGACCAGCUAGGGAUCGUCGCCUAGGUGAGCCUUUACCUCACCUACUAGCUAAUCCCACCUGGGCUUAUCCAUCAGCGCAAGGCCCGAAGGUCCCCUGCUUUCCCCCGUAGGGCGUAUGCGGUAUUAGCAGUCGUUUCCAACUGUUAUCCCCCACAAAUGGGCAAAUUCCCAGGCAUUACUCACCCGUCCGCCGCUCGUCAUCUUCAAAAGCAAGCUUUUGAAAUGUUAACCGCUCGACUUGCAUGUGUUAGGCCUGCCGCCAGCGUUCAAUCUGAGCCAUGAUCAAACUCUGA